CCGAUGGCGACCGGCGCACGGGUGAGUAACACGUAUCCAACCUGCCGAUAACUCGGGGAUAGCCUUUCGAAAGAAAGAUUAAUAUCCGAUAGCAUAUCAAGAUCGCAUGAUCUUGAUAUUAAAGAAUUUCGGUUAUCGAUGGGGAUGCGUUCCAUUAGUUAGUUGGCGGGGUAACGGCCCACCAAGACGACGAUGGAUAGGGGUUCUGAGAGGAAGGUCCCCCACAUUGGAACUGGGACACGGUCCAAACUCCUACGGGAGGCAGCAG
rnacentral:rRNA from 1 species